GGGGAGGUUUUGUGAUACUGAGCCCAUGAUACUGAGACCAUCACCUGAUGGUCACCUGACAUUGCUGGUCCUAGGUGUGGGAGGAAAGCCUUCUCCUGCCCUGCUCAUGCCUAACUAGCUGCCUACUAUAACUCUAGGGGAUCUGACUUCCAGCCAUUUAAGUCGUGCCUGCUUCCUCUUCACCUUCUGUCAUGAUCGUAAUUUUCCUGAGCCCUCCUCAGAAGCUGGGCAGAUGCCAGCACCAUGCUUCCUGUAUAGCCUGUGGAACCAUGAGCCAAUUAAACCUCUUUUCUUUGCCCAGUCUCAGGUAUUUCUUUAUUUUUACUGUUAUUUUUUAUUUUUAGAUGGAGUCUCUUGCUCUGUUGCCCAGGCUGGAGUGCAGUGGCAAGAUCUCGGCUCACUGCAAGCUCCGCCUCCCUGGUUCACAUCAUUCUCCUG
rnacentral:lncRNA from 1 species